rnacentral:lncRNA from 1 species
GGAGACAAGUUUGGCAAUCUUAGUUACUUCAUUUAGCAAAUGAUCAACUUGAUCUUGCAAAGAUCUGGAAUUCCUUUUAGAUUUUGAAGGCAGAUUUCUGGUCUUAUCUUUGCUGUACCUAUGACAGUCUGGUCGGAUAUGACCAGUCAACCCACACCUGUGACAAGUUGGGACAAACUUAGAUUUCUUGACAACCUGCUGAACAUCAAGAGGAACAGUGACUGGAGUUUUUGACUUGACAAACUUAGUGGUAAAACUAGACGAACUAGAAUCAAGA